CGGAGGCAGCAGUGGGGAAUCUUGGUCAAUGGGGGAAACCCUGACCCAGCGACGCCGCGUGCGCGAUGAAGGCCUUCGGGUCGCAAAGCGCUGUCUUCAGGGACGAACGACGAGGUGAGUAACUGCGCUUCGUGUGACGGUACCUGAGGAGGAAGCCACGGCUAGCUACGUGCCAGCAGCCGCGGUAAUACGUAGGUGGCGAGCGUUGUCCGGAAUUACUGGGCGUAAAGGAUGAGUAGGCGGCCUAUUAAGUCGGGCGUGAAAUAUCAGGGCUCAACCCUGAUCUUGCAUUCGAAACUGGUAGGCUUGAGGGCAGGAGAGGAAAGCGGAAUUCCCGAUGUAGCGGUAAAAUGCGUAGAUAUCGGGAGGAACACCAGUGGCGAAGGCGGCUUUCUGGACUGUACCUGACGCUGAGUCAUGAAAGCCAGGGGAGCAAACGGGAUUAGAUACCCUGGUAGA
rnacentral:rRNA from 1 species